rnacentral:lncRNA from 1 species
UUUUCUUCUCUUAUAUCUCCUCCAACCUCUCUAUAAAACACCAUAACAGUGUAUGUAAUUCCAUCCAUCGGAAUCAAUCAAUUAAACACCAUUAUGUGAAGUGGAAGAAUCAUAAUAUGAAGUCGUAUACCUUCAACAUAAGGAUAUCAUCUUCUCCAAGUAAGUAUUAUUUUAUUAAUCUAGGGUUCUUCAUAUUUAUUCAUGUUUAUGCAUAAAUUGAUCUUACAUGUGUUAUCAAAGCGUGGUUUAAUUUUAGAUUAUCAAGUCGUUAUUUCAGAUUUGAAGUGUUGUUUGAUAAUAGUCGCAUGCCCUAAUUGAAGUAACGAUCCCAUGUUCUCUUGAAAUCGUAAUUUUGAAACCUGUAUCCAUUUUAGUGUUUGAACUCUAACGAUUUUAUUAUAAUUACUUAUUAAAAGGAAAAUUUGCAAAUCCAUUUUGGCGUUUGUUUUUUUAGAGAAAGUGAUUUAAUAGUCACACAUGAAUUUUAGUUUUUAGAUUCAUUUGAUGAAUGAUUUACUGCAUCAACUCAUAUAAACUAUCAUGUUUAAUGCCUACAACCUUUGAAAUUUCAAACUGAAAUUCAUAUGUCCAUUACUUAAUUUGUAAUGUUUCAUUGAUGCAUGCUUUAUUAAAAUUAAACCAAAUGCCAAAUAGCUAUGAUUUUGGAGCAAAGUCUAGUACGUUUUGUGAAGGAUAUCCCUCAUGAACAAAAUCUCUUGUGAAAAAUCAUUUUAAAUGGUAUAUGUUGUGGAUAAGUAAUGGGAUCAUAUAGUUAUUUGUCAUUAUCAUAAAAUUUAGAUAUUUUAGUUGGCAUCUAAUUGAAUAUUUCUUGCCGUCAUGAAGUUGUACUUUAUCUAUUCCAAAUUCAAAAUAAUUCGUUAUUUAUCAAGCGAAACUUUAUGUUACUAAUAAUCAUACAGUAUUGUCCUUAAGCAUGAACUGAAGACCACUAUAUGAUGCAAUUUAAAUUUAUUAUCAUAUUAUGCUUAAUAGGUAACCACAUGAUUUUGUUUGCGACUUCAUUUGUAUGUCGACGAGUGGUAUCUUUAAUGUCAAGCUUAAGUCACCGGACCAAAGAAAGGUUACAUAAGUUGACAUUAGAGUUUAUUAAACACCACAUUAUGCAACUGUGUGAGUUGUUAUUCAAAGAAUCUAAAGGCUAAUUGAAUAAUAAGUUAUGCAGUGAAAUUUCAAGCAUAAGAUGCAUGAAUGUUGUAUUUUUGCCCAAAGGUGAUUACAAUAUUUGUGUAGCAUAGUAUGAUUUUUGUACGCCAUUAUUUCCGGUUGUUGGUCUAGCCAAAGCAAAACUGAUAAUUGGUAGGGUAUCUAUAAAACCCAUUAUUUUGGUGUUAAUAAUAAACAUAUUGGUAUGUUUUAUCAUGCUAUCCCAUGAAAUGACUUUAUUUAAAAAAAAAAAAAGGUGAUAAGGAUAUUUCUAAUAAGGUCCAAAAUAUGGGUACUGUAAAUUUUGUUGCAAAUAUUGUCAUUACAAGGCCGUACCUAAUGAAUUUUUUUAGCUUGCAAGCAAAUGUGGAUUAUAUGCAUUUAUGAUUUAUAAGUUCAAUUGUACGGAUGUUUGUUUUUUUAUUACAUGAUUCCAUACAAUCCGAAAGUUGGAUUGAACUUAAGGAACAAUUAAUGUUGGGAAUGAUGAAGACUUGAACAUAGAAACACUUCACCUCACAAAUUAUUUUUCAUGUUUUUUUUAAAGUGGUUAUUCUUUAUGUCUUAAAGACACCAUUUAAUGUAUCAAGUUUAACUUGAAACUAAUUAUUUGUAUCUAAGUUAGCGUAUGAUGACUAUACUUUUAUGAUUGGAUACAAUAAUGUAACUGUUAGUUUCAAUUCCCAUAUUGUUGGUUAUGGUUGUUUGGAGGAAUACCUCUAUUAGUUACAAUUAAACAACCAUUUUAUGGAACCUUUAAUAUCGUUUAAUAUUGACGAGAACUUAAAUUGAGAAGUUUGAGACUUUAUCCACAUUGUGACAUUAAGGCUUAGGUCACAAAUCACAAUAUAGGAUGAUACGUGUCGUAAAAUGUUCUAUUGUAACUUGACUUCUCAUGAUUCAAUAAAUGCAUCACUUGUAUCCAAAGGAAUAAAUAAGGAUCUACAAGAUGCUCAAUUUACAAAAGCUUAUUAAUAUUAACCUCUGUAGAUCUUGACAAAGGUAUGUGGUCAAAAAUCACAUAUAACUUUUAUUGAUUAUUAUUCUUGAUGCAUGUAUCCGUACUUGAUGAAUGGAAAAUCUAAAUCUCUUCAAAUGUUUAAAAUGCUUGACGCCAAAGUUGAAAAUCAACUUGUCCAUAAAUUAUAAGCAUUCAGAUUAGAUAUAAGUGUCAUAUAUUAUAUGGUAAGCAUACAAAACUUGGAAACGGACCCCAAUCUUUCUUUGAAUUUUGUAAAGAUCAUGGGCUAAUUAACCAAUACCCCAUGUCGCGUACUCCUCAUUAAAGAAUGAUGUUGAGAAGAGGAUUAGAAACCUAAUGGACAGGGUGAAAAGUAUGCUUGUAAACACCAAGUUGCCCUAAUUUUGGACCUAGGCAAAACGGCAAUCCACAUCUUAAACAAAGUUCAUUUACAGUCUGUUCUUAAAAUUCCUUUUGAGUUUUUGACAGGAAGAAUACAAGAUUUAGGUAUUUAAGGGUGUGGAUGUACGGUCGAAACAAAAAUCUACAAUCCUGAAUCACAUAAACAUGAAAAUUGUAAGUUGUUUCUUCAUCAGCUAUCCUAAAAUCGUUAAAGGUUACCGACUUUUGUUCCAUCACAUAGUACCAUAAAGAAAUGAAGCAUGUAGGAUUUUUUAUGAAUGCCAAAAUCAGUGGGAGUGGUUUAUUGAGGGAUUGUGACCUUCAAGAACCUUCAAUUAUAAUUCAAGUGCCCAUUACUAUUAACACUUCAUUAGAAGAAUCUAGUUUUGCCUCAUAGAAAGCCUUUUCAAAUGCAUGGGUAAAUGAAACACCAUAAAAGAUCUCACUCAAUAUGUUGGCAUUAAAAACCCAUGAAAUAGCAUAUACAACUUCUUUUAUGAUGUAACCGACUCAUAAACUUUGACGAUUACAUGAGAUCGAUCUUGACAAAGGGAAGGAAAUAACCCUGUCAUGGAGAGUGAUGCCAUAACUUGUGAUCAAUCAACUAAGCAUAAUAAAUCUUUGAUUGAAGACCUUAAUUUAAUGUAAACGAAUGAUGUUUGGGAACAUGCCAAAUUACCAAAGGAUUUUCAAACCCAUAAGAUGCAAGUAGGUCUUUAAGACCAAAUUGGACCCCAAUGAUGAACAUUGAAUGCCAUAAAGUUCGUUUGGUCACUAAAAGGUAUUCACAAAAUAGGGUAUUUAUUACCAAGAAACAUUCUCAAUUUUUUCUCGAAUUGACUUCCUUAGGAUCAUAAUGGCUCUAUUAUUUCAUUUGGAUUUAGAGAUACAUCAAAUAGAUGUCAAACAAUUUUCUUAACUAAGAGUUACACAAUGAUGUUUACAUAACCCAUACAAAUAAUUACAUUUAUAAGGUUUAAGAACAUCUUAUGUGUAAACUCAAGGAACCAAUAUACAUACAGAAUCAAGCUUCAUGUCGAUGCUAUCUAAUGUUCGACAAAGUGAUGAACAAUAAAUGACUUCAUUAAGAACCAUAUGGAUCAGUGUAUAUACCUCAACAUCAGUGGGAGGGACUUUAUCAUACUCAUACUAUAUGGAGAUGACAUUAUCUUGUCGGGUAAUAACAAUGAUAUGUUGCACAAAUCGAAACAGUUAUUGUCACAUCACCUCGAUAUGAAGGAUCUCGAUGAAGCCUAAUAUGCAAUAGGCAUAUAAAUGCAUUGAGGAAUCCAAAGAGCUUUAUACAUGUCCCUAAAUACAUAUAUUGAGUGUGUAGUAAGUCGAUAUAGAAUGCAACAAUACUUCCCUUCAAUUCCUUCCAUAGUUAAGGUACACAAUUUUGGUGGCAUGCUUAGCCGUUAUCAUUAAAUCAUGGUCUAAAUCACUAGGAAGCUCUCAAUGAAGUUUUCUAAUAUUUUCAUGGGACUAAUAAUGACGAACUUGUUUAGUGAAAUAAGUAAUAACAUAUAAGUGAUAUGUUUCUUGGAUAUGACUUUACAAAAUGCAAAGAUAAGUAGUCAUACUAGGAUACAUUGGUAUACUAUUAGUCGGCCAAUAUCAUGGGAGAGUCAUAAAUAAAAGUUGACGACUAUAUCAACUAUGAUGGAGAAAUUUGAUUUCAUAGAUAAUGAAACAUUCCAUGAAAUGUUGUUGAGAAAUUAAAUCACAUGACUCAUGAUCAUAAACUCCAGUUACAGGCCAUUAAAAGAAAACGUAUUUCUAUAAUGUCGCCUCUAUAAGUUUUCCAUUAGAAAUAAUUAUAAUGGAAUGAGGCUUUACCUCGAUACAAAAUAUUUGUUCGUUAAUAAAAACUGGGGGAAAUAUUAUUUGUAUCAAAUACAUUAACACUAAUAAUAUGCUAGCGGAUCUGAUAAAGAAAGGUGUACCACCCAAUUAUUUGAACAUGUUGUCAAUAUGGGUUUAAGGAUACACGUAUUACUAUGUUAUUCUAGCAUAGUGAAUUAAUGGAACUUUUAAUUUUAUUUAUUCAAGUACUUGAUUAUUAUUCCUCCAUAAUAUGCAAUUUGUCUAUAUUAAUAACUUAUGCACAAUUAUGUUUUAUAAAGACAAAUAUAAUGCAUGACCACUUAAAUCUAAAGUCAUUUGGCUUAAAUUAAUCUUAAGUUUCAUAUGAAGUAUCAUAGUAUGAUCGGUGGGGGUCCCGUAUCUAAAAUGGAUGCGAAAGGCCGUACUUUUCUGCUUUUGAUAUUAAUAUGAAACAUGAUGAAAUUAUGUUGGCCAAAUAAUGAAACAUGUAUACAAAUAGUCACUCGGCCAAGUGGGAGAAUAUUGAAAACAACACAUUAGUAUGGCCUUAGGACUAUUUUGUAAUAUCCAUUACAUGUUACGUACAUUUAUAUCAAGUAUUAUAAUGUUUGCCAUAAUGACAUAUCAGGUCCCUAGGAUUAAUUAUAUGUAGUAUGAUGGAUAUGACAUUUAUCCAUAACUUGAGGGACCAAAAUUGUGUGGUUCUAAUACUUUCUCAUAAGGUGUAAUUGAUUAAUUGAACACACAUUUAAUAGAGGAAACGUUUGAAGGGAUUACGUUUUUUCUUCUCUUAUAUCUCCUCCAAUCUCUCUAUAAAACACCAUAAGAGUGUAUGUAAUUCCAUCCAUCGGAAUCAAUCAAUUAGACACCAUUAUGUGAAGUGGAAGAAUCAUAAUAUGAAGUUGUAUAGCUUCAACAUACGGAUAUCAUCUUCUCCAAGUAAGUAAUAUUUUAUUAAUCUAGGGUUCUUCAUAUUUAUUCAUGUUUAUGCAUAAAUUGAUCUUGGUUUAUACCUAUUAAUCUUACAUAUGGUACAAGUGGAUAACGGAAAAAGGUAAAAGUAUAAAGAAAAUGAAAGGUGUAAAUUUUACAUAAAAUGGUGAAGUAGCCAACUUUGAGGCUACAAAAUCUUGUCAAGGAAAAGGGAAGGAUGAAGAGGUAAUUUGUAGUGAACAUAAUAUGGAAAUGAAAUAUAAAAGAAUAAACCAAUCCCAUGCAAGGAUGAUCAAGUUAUGACCUUGUAAAGUUGGAAGAAAAUUUGUACAAAUUGAUGAGAAAUUGCAUAAUUUCGAAGAGGUCAUGUUUGCAGCCUUAUAACAUGAAAAUUAAAUUAAUGAAAGGUAAGUUCCAAAAUGAAAGUCAAAGUUUAUACAAAGAAGAGUACAUAUGGAAAAGUUUCAAGUCAGAUAAAUAAUGAAAAAGAUAUGUAAUUAAAAUCAACAUGUUCAAACAUAGAAAAUAAUGAAGAUUGAGUGAACCUUUAUGUUUACGACUAUAUAACUCGAAACUUAGAAGCAUUCAACAAAAUAUAUGUUCAUGAAAAUUGUAUUAUUCAUGACAAGAUUCUGGCAAAUAAAAGAUUCAUGACAAAACUGCACAAAUGGUCUCUGUGGUUACCUGAAAAUUGUCACUUUGGUCCAAAAAAAUUUGGACUAGCACCAGAGGUCCAAACUUUUCAUUUUGUUGCGAGUUUUGUUCGAUUUGCUUUGAAUUUUUUUAUAAAGACGAUUUUGCCCUUGGUUUUUUCUUUUUUUAGUUUUUUAUUUAUUUAAAUGUUUUUCAGAUAAAAAGAAAAUUUUUUAAAAAUUAGAAAAGCCUAACCUCUCUCUCUCUCUCUCUACAAUUGUUCAAGAAAAACAGAUACAAUAAAAAGCACAUUCCUUUUUUCCCUUGGUCUUCCUGCCUGCAACUCAAACCCACCAACAAUCUUUCUAUUUUGGAAGAAAUCAAUUUGUGGGCUACAUCUUCUCCAGCCCAACACAAACUAAACUUGCAUUCUGUUGUCGUAUCUCCGUCCGAUCUACCAUCUGCCCAUCGAUCGGCUCCACCCCUUUUCCUCUUACCGGCAGAUCAACUCGGAUUGACUUCCACCUCUACCCACAAACCUUCGAUUGCAGAGUAGAAAGCUUCUUUCUCUGUUCAAAGUGAGUCACGAAGAUCAGUUUGAAGUUCAAAUUGGAGAUAUUGAUACUCAAAUCUUCAAGAAGCUUCAUCGGGUUACCAUUAUGCCCCUCACCGUGAAUAUGUUGAACUAUUGUUUGAUUUAUUUGAACCCUAACUCUGCACCAUUGUUUGAUUUAUGAACCCUAUCUUUGUAUGUGUAUCUGGAUUUGUGUGUACUAUUGUAGCUCGGUGGUAAUUUAUAGAUACAUCCAUCAGAUUUAACCAUCUUGAAUCUUCAAAACAUGACAAAGAAGCAGCGGAGGAAGAUUGUGAUCUAUCUAUUCCUCUCGUAUCUCUCUCGUCUUGCAUAACCAACAAAGAUCUAAUACCAGCAAAUUCAAGCAACAAGCUCAAUGAUUCUCCUGCUUUAAUGAUGAAAAAGUCCAAACACAACCACCAACAACACCAAAUCUCCCCUGAAUGAUGAACCAGUUAUGAGAUGAUGCAACCCAUUUAGAUUCACCCCCAAAACCCAUCAAGGAAUUGAUAGAUUUUGGGGAGACCCAGAUGGACCCGACAAAGGAAGAAAUCUAAUUCCAUGGUUUGUGGUUUCAGGUGAAGCUCUUGGUGGUGUGGUGUGGGCGAUGGAAGUGGUGAGUAGUUUUGCAGGUCUCGAUGGUUUUGAGGAAUGGAUGAGCGGGAGUCGUAUCUUUGGAGGUUCACCAAAAGAAGCUUGACAUGAGAUCUGGGUUUUGUCGGAAAAAGCUUGAAAUGAGAUCUGGUGUUGUGUUGGUUCUGAUGGAAAAUUCUUUUAUAAAUUUGAUGUUCUUGAUGAAUUUUUGGGG